UGGGGAAUUUUGCACAAUGGGGGAAACCCUGAUGCAGCGACGCCGCGUGAUUUAGAAGGCCUUCGGGUUGUAAAAAUCUUUUUUACGGGAUGAAAAUGACAGUACCGUAAGAAUAAGGUCCGGCUAAAUACGUGCCAGCAGCCGCGGUAAUACGUAUGGACCGAGCGUUGUCCGGAAUCAUUGGGCAUAAAGGGUACGUAGGCGGCCUAGUAAGUUAGAAGUGAAAUAAUAUAGCUCAACUAUAUAAAGCUUUUAAAACUGCUAGGCUUGAGAGAUGGAAGGGAAAGUGGAAUUCCUAGUGUAGCGGUGAAAUGCGCAGAUAUUAGGAAGAAUACCGGUGGCGAAGGCGACUUUCUGGUCAUCAUCUGACGCUGAGGUACGAAAGCGUGGGUAGCAAACAGG
rnacentral:rRNA from 1 species